UACGGAGGGUGCGAGCGUUGUCCGGAAUCACUGGGCGUAAAGGGCGCGUAGGUGGCGCGGGCAGUCAACGGUGAAAGUUCGGGGCUCAACCCUGAAUCGGCCGUCGAUACUCCCGGGCUGGAGCACUGUAGAGGCUAAUGGAAUUCCGGGUGUAGCGGUGGAAUGCGUAGAGAUCCGGAAGAACACCGGUGGCGAAGGCGGUUAGCUGGGCAGUUGCUGGACACUGAGGCGCGACAGCGUGG
rnacentral:rRNA from 1 species